rnacentral:rRNA from 1 species
GAUGAACGCUGGCGGCGUGCCUAAUACAUGCAAGUCGAGCGAACAGACGAGGAGCUUGCUCCUCUGACGUUAGCGGCGGACGGGUGAGUAACACGUGGAUAACCUACCUAUAAGACUGGGAUAACUUCGGGAAACCGGAGCCAAUACCGGAUAAUAUAUUGAACCGCAUGGUUCAAAAGUGAAAGACGGUUUUGCUGUCACUUAUAGAUGGAUUCGCGUCGCAUUAGCUAGUUGGUAAGGUAACGGCUUACCAAGGCUACGAUGCGUAGCCGACCUGAGAGGGUGAUCAGCCACACUGGAACUGAGACACGGUCCAGACUCCUACGGGAGGCAGCAGUGGGGAAUCUUCCGCAAUGGGCGAAAGCUUGACGGAGCAACGCCGCGUGAGUGAUGAAGGUCUUCGGAUCGUAAAGCUCUGUUAUUAGGGAAGAACAGAUGUGUGAGUAACUAUGCACGUCUUGACGGUACCUAAUGAGAAAGCCACGGCUAACUACGUG